UCGGGGCAUAAUAGAACAUUUUAAUUAGGUAUUACUCUUUGUUCGAUUGAAUGAGAAAAAGUACUCGUUGUAAAUUUAUACUGUUAGGGCGCAAUUGAGUAGCUUAAUGUUGUUCCGGUUUUCGUUCUUGUUAACGUGGACAUCUAAUUUACCCUCUCGGGGCAUAAUAGAACAUUUUAAUUAGGUUUUACUCUUUGUUCGAUAGAAUGAGAAAAAGUACUCAUUUCAAAUUUAUACUGUUAGGGCGGAAUUGAGUAGCUUAAUGUUGUUCCGGUAUUCGUUCUUGUGAACUUGGACAUCUAAUUUACCCUCUCGGGGCAUAAUAGAAUAUUUUAAUUAGGUAUUACUCUUUGUUCGAUUGAAUGAGAAAAAGUACUCGUUGCAAAUUUAUACUGUUAGGGCACAAUUGAGUAGUAUAAUGUUGUUCGGGUUCUCGUUCUUGUGAAUGCGGACAUCUAAUUUACCCUCUCGGGGCAUUAUAGAACAUUUUAAUUUGGUAUUACUCUUUGUUCGAUUGAAUGAGAAAAAGUACUCUUUACAAAUUUAUACUGUUUUGCCGCAAUUGAGUUGUCCAGUUUUUUUCCGGUUUUCGUUGUUGUGAACGUGGACAUCUAAUUUAACCUCUCGGGGCAUAAUAGAAUAUUUUAAUUAGGUUUUACUCUUUGUUCGAUAGAAUGAGAAAAAGUAAUCCUUACAAAUUUAUACUAUUUGGCCGCAAUUGAGUAGCUUAAUGUUGUUCCGGUAUUCGUUCUUGUGAACGUGGACAUCUAAUUUACCCUCUCAGGGCAUAAUAGAACAUUUUAAUUAGGUUUUACACUUUGUUCGAUAGAAUGAGAAAAAGUACUCAUUGCAAAUUUAUACUGUUAGGGCAGAAUUGAGUAGAUUAAUGUUGUUCCGGUAUUUGUUCCUGUGAACUUGGACAUCUAAUUUACCCUCUCAGGGCAUAAUAAAAUAUUUUAAUUAGGUAUUACUCUUUGUUCGAUUGAAUGAGAAAAAGUACUCGUUGCAAAUAUAUACUAUUAGGGCGCAAUUGAGUAGUCUAAUGUUGUUUCGAUUUUCGUUCUUGUGAACGUGGACAUCUAAUUUACCUUCUCGGGGCAUAAUAGAUCAUUUUAAUUAGGUAUUACUGUUUGUUCGAUUGAAUGAGAAAAAGUACUAGUUGCAAAUUUAUACUGUUAGGGCGCAAUUGAGUAGUCUAAUGUUGUUCUGGUUCUCGUUCUUGUGAACGUGGACAUCUAAUUUACCCUCUCGGGGCAUAAUAGAACAUUUUAAUUAGGUAUUACUCUUUGUUCGAUUGAAUGAGAAAAAGUACUCGUUGCAAAUUUAUACUGUUAGGGCGGAAUUGAGUUGUCUAAAGUUGUUCCGGUUCUCGUUCUUGUGAACGUGGAGAUCUAAUUUAACCUCUCGGGGCAUAAUAGAACAUUUUAAUUAGGUAUUACUCUUUGUUCGAUUGAAUAAGAAAAAGUACUCUUUACAAAUUUAUACUGUUUGGCCG
rnacentral:lncRNA from 1 species